rnacentral:rRNA from 1 species
GAUCGUAUGAUUACAUGGAUAACUGUGGUAAUUCUAGAGCUAAUACAUGCAACCAGCUCGUCCGUCUCGUACGGCGAGCGCAGUUAUUAGAACAAAACCAAUCCAGCCUCGGCUGGUCUACUGGUGACUCUGAAUAACCGAAGCGGAGCGCUAAGGUCUCGUACCGGCGCCAGAUCUUUCAAGUGUCUGACUUAUCAACUUGUAGCGAGGUUAUGUUCCUCGCUAGGUUGUGACGGGUGACGGGGAAUCAGGGUCCGAUUCCGGAGAGGGAGCCUGAGAAACGGCUACCACAUCCAAGGAAGGCAGCAGGCGCGCAAAUUACCCACUCCCGGCACGGGGAGGUAGUGACGAAAAAUAACGAUGCGAGAGCUUUUAUGCUUUUCGUAAUCGGAAUGGGUACACUUUAAAUCCUUUAACGAGGAUCUAUUGGAGGGCAAGUCUGGUGCCAGCAGCCGCGGUAAUUCCAGCUCCAAUAGCGUAUAUUAAAGUUGCUGCGGUUAAAAAGCUCGUAGUUGGAUCCGGGCAGUCGACGCGCGGUGCGCUUUACAGCGUUACUGCGUGCUCGUCGCCACUAUCCGGCCUGUCUUUCAUAUCCUUCAUUGGGCGUGAUUGGCGACCGGGACGUUUACUUUGAAAAAAUUAGAGUGCUUAAAGCAGGCAUAUGGCCUUGCAUAAUGGUGCAUGGAAUAAUGGAAUAGGACCUCGGUUCUAUUUUGUUGGUUAUCGGAGCUCGAGGUAAUGAUUAAGAGGAACAGACGGGGACAUUCGUAUUGCGGCGUUAGAGGUGAAAUUCUUGGAUCGUCGCAAGACGAACUACUGCGAAAGCAUUUGUCAAGAAUGUUUUCAUUAAUCAAGAACGAAAGUUAGAGGUUCGAAGGCGAUCAGAUACCGCCCUAGUUCUAACCAUAAACGAUGCCAACCAGCGAUCCGUCGGUGUUCAUUCAAUGACUCGACGGGCAGCUUCCGGGAAACCAAAGUGCUUAGGUUCCGGGGGAAGUAUGGUGCAAAGCUGAAACUAAA